CAAUCUAGUGGUAAAAAUCCGUAUGAAGGUGGAGUAGUUUUACAGUUUUACUUCAAUUUUGGCGGUGACAUCUUUGUGUAGCAGACUAGCACUUCAAAGUUCAAACAAAAUACCCCUUUCUUCCGAUUCUGAUCAAUCAAACACGCUUUCAUAAGAUAACCUCAAACCUCCAUUUUCCCCAAUUCUCAACAAUGUCUCUCAAUCUUCGCCAGAAACAAACAGAAUGUAUAAUCAGGAUGUUGAAUCUGAACCAACCGGUGAAUUCCUCAACAGGAAUGGCAAACGAAGAGGUGUACAAGAUCUUGAUCUACGACAAAUCUUCCCAAGACAUUCUCUCUCCUCUCAUCCAUGUCAAAGACUUACGCAAGCAUGGCGUCACUCUCUUCUUCCUCAUCGAUAAACCCCGCAAACCCAUCCCCGACGUUCCCGCCGUUUACUUCAUCCGUCCAACUCCGUCAAAUCUUCAACGCGUGGUUGCGGAUGCUGCUGUACCUCUAUACGACACAUUUCAUCUCAACUUCUCAUCUUCGAUUCCUCGCCCUUUGCUGGAGGAUCUUGCAUCUGGGCUCCUCAAAUCGAACGACGCCGUUUCAAGGGUUUCCAAGGUACAUGAUCAGUACUUGGAUUUUGUUACUUUAGAGGAUAACUUGUUUUCGCUUGCAUUUAGUAAUUGUUAUGUGCAAUUGAAUGAUCCUAAAGCUGAACAGAGGGAAAUUGAGGAGAUUAUUGAGAAGGUUGUUGAUGGGUUGUUCUGUGUUUUGGCUACAUUGUCUGUAGUGCCGAUUAUUCGGUGCCCGCAAGGAGGGGCUGCCGAAAUGGUGGCAUCCUCUUUGGAUCAGAGGCUUAGGGACCAUUUAUUGUCUAAGAAUAAUUUGUUUAGUGAGGGUGGGAAUUUUGCCUCGUCAUUUCAGAGGCCGGUUUUGUGUUUGUUUGAUAGAAAUUUCGAAUUGGCUAUGGGGAUUCAGCAUGAUUUUAGGUACAAACCGCUUGUUCAUGAUGUGCUUGGAUUGAGGCUUAAUAGGGUGAGUGUGCAAGGAGAGAAGGGUGGGACUAAGUCUUUUGAGCUGGAUGGGUUGGAUCCAUUUUGGGUGGCGAACGGGGGGUUAGAAUUUCCUGAGGUGGCGGUUGAGAUUGAGAAUCAGCUCACCAAGUAUAAGAAAGAUGUGGAUGAUGUGAAUCGGAGGACUGGUGGCACGAGCGGGGCCGAGUUUGAUGGGACGGAUUUGAUUGGGAACACAAAACAUUUGAUGAGUGCAGUUAACUCGUUACCUGAGUUAACAGAGCGAAAGCAAGUGAUUGAUAAGCACACGAAUAUUGCGACUGUGUUGUUGGGUGAGAUUAAGGAGAGGUCGCUCGAUUCUUAUGCUAAGAAGGAGUAUGAUAUGAUGGUAAGGGGGAUUAUUGAUAUGAAUGAGUUGAUGGGUGUGCUUAAAGGGAAGGGGUCCAAGAUGGAUAAACUCCGUUUUGCUAUUAUGUACCUUAUUUCUUUGGAGAUCGUUCCACAAUCUGAAGCAGAAAUGGUGGAGACGGCACUCAGAGAAGCUGAGGUUGAUACUAGUGCAUUUCAGUAUGUGAAAAAGAUAAAGUCAUUGAAUGUUCCGUUGACUUCUGCUAGUGCUGCAAGCAGAGGUAACAUAGUUGGCUGGGCUGGGAAUCUCUUGGCUGCUGGUAUGAAGAAUCUUAUGUCAGGUGACAGUCAGCUGGCACUGGCAAGGAUAGUUGAAGCUUUGAUGGAAGGGAGACCUAACCAAGAGGUCGACUCCUACCUGCUAUUUGAUCCUCGAGCUCCUAAGUCUAGUUCUGGUAGUCAUCUAAGAGGACCAUUUAAGGAGGCUAUCGUGUUUAUGAUUGGGGGUGGGAAUUAUGUGGAACAUGCAAGCCUGCAAGAGCUUGUGUCCCGACAGCAGCCAGCCAGGCAUAUUAUAUAUGGAACGACAGAGAUUCUCACUGGGGCUGAGUUUGUUGAGCAGCUUGCCUUACUGGGGAAGAAGAUGGGGUUGGGGGCUAACCUUGCUCCUUCAGCCCAUUGAUCGAGUUCAUCUGCUUUUCUGAGAAUUAGUGAACUUGUUAGGCUUCUAUACAGAGGAUUGUUUGAAGAAUUAGUCAUAGUCAAAUACAUAUGUUGAAGAGGAAGAGCAUAUAGUAUUGUGGUUGCUGAAAGAGUGGUUCUAAAUUUUAUGCAAAGGAUGAGUGGAAAUGCUACGCUCACCAAGGCAAUGGCUGAUGCUGCAUGUCCUGCUGUUAUUUUGGAAACUAGAAAGACAGCUCCAGGUUUACGCUUGGUGGAUAAGUGGGCGGUUCUAAUUGGUGGAGGGAAGAAUCACAGCCUUGGUAUAUUUGACAUGGUGUUGAUAAAAGAUAAUCACGUAUCAAUUGCCGGUGGUAUCGCAAAAGCCCUGAAGGCAGCAGACCACUAUUACCUGCAGAAUAAUCUCAAUAUGGAGGUUGAGGAGCGUGUAAGGGAACACUUUGCACCACAUGGCGUCAGAGUCAGUAUAUAGCAUCAUAUGUUGUUCAAACAUGGUGCAGUGGACUUCUGGGUCGGUUGACCCGUCAUACUUGCUGAGCGGGAAUUUCACUUUUUCCAUUUGUUCUUCUAGGAUAUCCAUGCACAGGGGUGAGUUCACUGGUUUAAUGGUAUAGCGGCGCGGCGCAUAUCCCUGGGGUGCCUCUCUCGUUUCUUCUAUGACAAUGUUUUCAGGCUGGUUGCGCAUGGCGACCACAUUAUGCUUAUUGUGUUGGGGUUCAGGUUGUUCUACAUCAUGACCUCUGAAUAGAUCUCUUAUUGGCAAUAUUUUCCUCUUUUGGCCGACGGUGGUUUCCGUUGCUUGGUUACCGACUGGCAUUUCCACGGGUGUAGGUUUUGUGUUGGUUCUCCUUCCUGAUUUCAGGGCCGAAUCACGACUUGUGCUGUGGUCUGUUCUACUUGGCGGUGAGUUUUGAUGGUAUUUGGAUGGAGUUUCUUAUCAGGCUCUGCCUCGGAGUCGUCGUCCUCGACUGUGUACCCCAGGAACUGAGGGGUGUGUCAUUGUUCUUGUUGCCCGUCGCUGUUGGGGUUUUACUAACACCCGAUUGGCUUCCUAGAUGGGGGUUGGGUUGUGAUUCAAUGGGUGUUAUAGUCGGUUCUCCUGCUGACUGCAUGGGUUUCAGAUGUGGAGUUGGUUUGACUGUCGCCUGUGUGCUUUGUGGGGUUGUUUUCGAAGUGUGUUUUUUGCUCUUUUUGUUUGAAUCCGACUGAAUACCUUCCAUUGUUUAUAUAUCUAAUUUUCUUUUACAACUGUAGGUUUGUUUUCAGGUGGGGAUUCCCCUCCCCUAGCGCCAAUUGUUCCAGUAGCGAAUUUAGUAGCGAAUUUGGCACAGGGUAGGGUUGAUUUGUCUCUAAUGCUCGUUGUUGACUGUAUGCUGCACAAUGAGAUGGUUAACUAGCCUCGAGGAUGAUCCAAGAAUUACCCCUCCGAUGCAUAAGUCAGAUUACGCUGAUUGCUCUGUAAUAAAUGCUUACAAGAAUGAUUGGGUUCGAUUACGUACCUUUGGCAUUGAAUGGGGGUCCAUAUUUAUAGACGGGUCCUUUCUAUGGAGGAUACGGGUUAUUACCCUUUGGUCCCUGAUCCUCUUUUUGGGACCCGUGAGGUGGGUGUCGGCAGAGAAAUGCCGACUAUAGAUAGUCAAGCCCAAAUACCGACUGUAGUCUUGGCCUGCAUUGCUUCUUUGGCCUGCAUUGCUUCUUUUGUAUCUUUAUUUGUGAUAUAGGAUGAACGUGUGUCCUAAAAAAUACGGUGGGGUAUCAUGUAUGAGAUUCAACAUGAAAGUCAUG